rnacentral:pre_miRNA from 11 species
AUCUAGCACCUCUGAAAGACCCCCAGAGUGGGGAGACCCUCACUCAAGUCUCGGGAUAAGCCGAUGCCCCAAUAAUUCAAGAGAGACC